GCAUUUGGUAGAUGCCUUGGCACUAGAAGGCGAUGAAGGACGUAAUACGCUGCGAUAAGCUUCGGGGAGUUGCGAAUAAAUUUUGAUCCGAAGAUUUCCGAAUGGGGAAACCCACCUAAUUUAUUAGGUAUUGUAUAGUGAAUACAUAGCUAUAUGAGGCAAACCCAGCGAACUGAAAUAUCUAAGUAGCUGGAGGAAAGGACAUCAACCGAGACUCCGUUAGUAGUGACGAGCGAACGCGGACCAGGCCAGUGGCAAUCUAUGAAAGAAGCCGAACACGUUGGAAAUCGUGGCAAGAAUGGGUGAUAGCCCCGUAGGCAUAAUGUUCUUGAUUGUCCUCGAGUAGGGCGGGACACGUGAAAUCCUGUCUGAACAUGGGGGGACCACCCUCCAAGCCUAAGUACUCCACAUUGACCGAUAGUGAACCAGUACCGUGAGGGAAAGGUGAAAAGCACCCCAACGAGGGGAGUGAAACAGACCCUGAAACCGGACGCCUACAAACAGUCGGAGCUUCCUUGAGAAGUGACGGCGUACCUUUUGUAUAAUGGGUCAGCGACUUGGUCUUACGAGCAAGCUUAAACCGAUAGGUGUAUGCGCAGCGAAAGCGAGUCUUAAUAGGGCGACAUGU
rnacentral:rRNA from 1 species